GUCUCAAAAUAUCACCCUAGGUCUAUAUACGAAUUUGGGCCUACCACAUACUUUAAUGCACAAAAAACUUCUUUUCCUGAAUAUACACUGCUGGAACUAGGGUACGUCUAAUAUUCCCGUGCGUCUUUUAUGCUAUCAAAUACAGUAUUGAUGGAAUAGCAAUUAAAUUCUUCGGGUGGUUCUUCGGCGAGAUCAUACGUUUCGUCUCGCCGAGUUAAAAUUUACAAACAACCUAAGUUGUAUAUCCACGUGACCUAUGAUGGCGGCGAAUUUAAGUCGGUGAAAAUCGACAACAAUUUCUUUCAUUUCUUUGAAGCUGACAACAACGGAGUUGUUCGGAGGAGGAGGAUGGCAGCAGAAUGUAGUGCUGUAAAGAAACUUCCCAGUGCUUGGUGGGGACUUUUUGUUACUUUUCAAAAUGAAAGAAAGCCACAUGUUGCAGCUGAAGUCUGGUGGCGAAACAAUUCGAUGUCGAAAUUCGCAGAAAGACCGGAAUUGGAAACUUUGUUGAAGUCUUUCGUUUCUCUCGAACCUCGACUGAUCGAGGAGAAUUUAAUCUUUUGCCCCACCUUCUUUCUUCUGACGGAAUAUUUCCAAAAAUGUUUGCUAUCAUUUUUGACUCAACAUUUGGCUGAACUUCCAGAACAGUCUACACAAGAAUUCCUGGCUACCAUUCAACAAAACAUCCAAUAUGUCCCCAACAAUAGGAUCCAGUCUCUUUUUAACCAUUUUCAGUAUAAUUGUAGAUUAACUUGGAACCAAACUUUUCUUCCAAAUAACCAUUUUCCCCAUGUCAUCUCCAAGCAAAACCAAGAGAUACUAAAUGACAUAUUGAAGUCACCAGCAUCAACUCACCAAUACAAUCCUUUCUUACCUUCAUUUGUUAGAGAGGGACCACAGCAAAUUCCUGAUGGAAACAUUACAAGCACAGAUGAUGUGACCUCUCCAAACCAACAGCAUUCUCUUCAAGAGCAAUGCAUUAACAUAAUAGUGCCAGAAAGUCCAGUCAUUGUUAUUCAUUCUGACAGUUGCAGUGAAGAAUCUAUGGAAGUGGCAAAAGAAGGAGCAAUCGAACCCGAAUCCAGUAAAUCUACAAAUAUUCCAGUUGAAGAAUCCAGCAAACCCCCAUCACCAAUGGAAGUUCCCAAACCCCCAUCACCAGUGGAAGUGCCUUCUCAUGAAUUACCACCAGACAUAGAAAUGAAGGCCAACCAGUUGAAGUAUGUCUGGCAACAAGGAGACAAACCCCAGAACGUGUUACCACCCGAAUUGACCCUUUUUGUUGAAUGUUCAGACCAACAGGUUCACCAAAUCUGCCACAUGUUAGAUGUUGAGUCCCUGUCAGAAUCCUCCUUUGCCAUGAUAUGCAAACAUUUUGCUGAGGUCGGCAAUCAAAUCAGUUAUGCCAACAGCCUGGUCUUGGCCAAAGAUUGUAUUCUUCCCAGGUUUGUGGUGCAGUCCAAGCAAAAUUCUAGGCUCUUAGUCUCUGCAGUUGUGACCUUUAGUCAACAAUUCCCAAAGCCAUUUGUGGAUGGAGUCUUAAUUCCCUGUGCAAAGAACAAAAAAAUUGAUUUACCUCAAGCCAAGCUGUUAACUAUUGUCAAUAAGGAUGCUUUCACUUCUAACACCAGACUCUACCUCCUUGACUGGAAUUGUCAUCUGACCAACUUUCCCAAUUACUGCAAUGGCUAAAGAAGACAUCCACUUUUGAACAGCAUUCCAAUAGCAAAUAUGGCAGAUUUUUGCUCACAUUUGUAAAUAAACAUAAAAAACAGUUGAAAAAAGAACAUAUUUCUUGCCUUUACCAAAUUGUUGAACACCAUGAGACUUUCUUAAAGAAUACGAUAAUCAGUGCCCUCAAGACUUUAGCAUAACAAUUGGAUGUCAUUGGGGGACAAAGCUUAUUCGUGCGACCUGCUUUUCUGCACAUUUGAAUUGGCAACCUGAAGUCAAAGCUUCUGUAAAUCAUGUGGCAAAUAUUUUAUUUCUAUUCAAGUACACAAAUAAAAGAACAAAGCACAAUGAACAUAGACAAGUGGGUGAUGAAAUACGCAAGACACGGUUUUGGGAAGAAAUUGCAAUCCGUCAGUUUAAAAAUAUAGCCUGGCAAUUUGAAUGUUUAUUCCAGUAUUGUGUGUGGAGGGGGGGGAGGGAAGGUAGAAUGGAU
rnacentral:misc_RNA from 1 species